CCACCGGGCAUUGCCUUAGUACGGCGAGUGAGCGGCAAAAGCUCAAAUUUGAAAUCUGGCGUCUUCGACGUCCGAGUUGUAAUUUGAAGAAGGCGACUUUGUAGCUGGUCCUUGUCUAUGUUCCUUGGAACAGGACGUCAUAGAGGGUGAGAAUCCCGUGUGGCGAGGAUCCCAGUUAUUUGUAAAGUGCUUUCGACGAGUCGAGUUGUUUGGGAAUGCAGCUCUAAGUGGGUGGUAAAUUCCAUCUAAAGCUAAAUAUUGGCGAGAGACCGAUAGCGAACAAGUACAGUGAUGGAAAGAUGAAAAGAACUUUGAAAAGAGAGUGAAAAAGUACGUGAAAUUGUUGAAAGGGAAGGGCAUUUGAUCAGACAUGGCGUUUGCUUCGGCUUUCGCUGGGCCAGCAUCAGUUUUAGCGGUUGGAUAAAUCCUCGGGAAUGUGGCUCUGCUUCGGUAGAGUGUUAUAGCCCGUGGGAAUACAGCCAGCUGGGACUGAGGAUUGCGACUUUUGUCAAGGAUGCUGGCGUAAUGGUUAAAUGCCGCCCGUCUU
rnacentral:rRNA from 1 species